UGAGCCCUUCCCACAAUGAGAAAGUUGAGC
rnacentral:piRNA from 1 species